rnacentral:ncRNA from 1 species
ACACGACUCUGGAGAGUCCCGACGGAAAAUGCGGCAUAUUUGCAGUUUUCCAAGGGCGCCGAAGGUGCACGGAAGCCGAUAGAUACGCUUCCUUAUCUCUCAGGCAAAAGGACAGAGAAA